rnacentral:rRNA from 1 species
UACGGAGGGAUCUAGCGUUAUUCGGAAUAACUGGGCGUAAAGCGAGCGUAGGCGGAUUUGUAAGUUGGAGGUGAAAUCCCAGGGCUUAACCCUGGAACUGCCUUCAAAACUACAUUUCUUGAGUUUGGUAGAGGAGAGUGGAAUUCCUAGUGUAGAGGUGAAAUUCGUAGAUAUUGGGAAGAACAUCGGUGGCGAAGGCGAUUUUCUGGGCCAUAUCUGACGCUGAGGUUCGAAAGCGUGGGUAGCAAACAGG